UGGCAUUUGAGCCCGUGACCCGCAAACCCGCCCGAAACCAGCACGGUAAAAGCCCGCACGAACCCGUCCAUUUAUUAAAUUCGUGCUAAGAAAGCCCGCACGCAAAAAACCCACAAAUUAAUGGGCCUUGCGUGCUAAGCCCACUGGAACCCAUUGGAACCCGUUUACUUCCAAACAAACCCACUCCGACCCUUUCCGUCAUUCAGCAACGACAAAAAACGCAACUCUCUCUCUCUCUCUGGAACGCAACCCUGAAUCUGAGCAGCGAGCACAGCAGCCUCCCAUUCAUUUCCGUCACCCAAAUCCCAACUCUCUCUCUCUCAUCUCUCUCUGCGCGCCCAAUUUCUCAAGGAUUGUCGGCUACUCUGGUUACAUUUCCUCCAUGACCAUUGGCUCCUGGUGAACUUGGUGAUUGGACAACUUGGUCAUGAACACUCGAUGCACCAUUGGCCGCGGAGGUACUGCUAUCAACCCUUCCUCCAUUGCUGGUGGAGGCUAGUGUACAUGUGUGCCUUCCUAUGUAAGUAAUUUGAAGGAUUUCUUUAUCAUUGGAGCGCUGUACUUCCUUUAUUGCCAUGCAGCCUCCGACAUUUUGAGGAGAACAUACAUAAUAGACUCUGCUAAAUACAAACAAUCUAAUGUUACAAAAUAAAAUAGAUCAAGCUUGUAAAUAUUCACUUUGUGUGACAUUAGUUUCAUACGAGACCUUAAGCAACAUCAAAAAGUACAAAGUCAAAAAUGAAUUA